rnacentral:tRNA from 1 species
GGGCCGGUAGCUCAGUGGUAGAGCACCCGCUUGGCAUGCGGGAGGCCUGGGGUUCAAAUCCCCACCGGUCCA